GGAGGAGAAGUGGAAGUAGCGAAAGUCACAGUCCUGCUGUUGCAGAGGGGACCACCGAAAAAUGUCUUUCUCGCCACAUUUUUAAAUGCUUACCUAGAAAAAAUCCAUUCAAUUGUACGCUUAAAGGUGGGGCAGGCAUUUUUUGUGAGAAGCACUUUCUGUCAUAUUACUUGAAACUCUCGUAACAAACAAAUAGCGAUGAAUACAGUGAAGGAUCCGAAACUGAAACAAAAACAUUCCCUCAUCCGUGGCCUCGGCAGGACUCUAAAAACCACAACCAAUCAGAAAGUUCGGUCCGAAGAAAAUGAUUGGAUGAACCAGCUUUCUCCUGCCUGCGCGCAUUCCGCUCGUUCACCACACAUCGGGGCGCAUGACCAGUCUCCUGCACGGCGUCGGCAAACAACAGAAGCAGAGGCUACAGCGCUACGGAGCUAGAGCUACAGUUAGCAGAUGAGUUGCUGCACUGAACUAAAGAAGAAAGGAGUUGCAGAAUGGCAGAGAAAGUGCCUACAACAGCUUCCGGUCGCAACAGACAGAGCAGGAGAGACGGCUACGGACAAAAAGACGUUGGAUACUACGAAGAGGAGUGAACAGAGUAAACAUUAGGGGGGCGUAGUGAGAAUGCCCGGUGUGCGUGGCUAGAGGCUUGUAGUAGCAGUUGAUGUGCAUGUUGCAGCCUCAAGUUCCAUCAAUAAGUCUCCGUGUGUUUUCAUCACAAUGAUGGGCAUGAGGAGCAGGUCUCGAGGGUCAGGUCCCGGAGCAAUGCAGAGCUUCGGCCCGAGAGAAACCAUCUCCCUGGUCCCAGACUACGGUACGGACGACCGGCAGGAAAUUAAAUGAAAAGUACUGUUCAAUGUAAGGUAAUAUGAACAUUUUACUAAGUUGACCUCCUUUCUCUUAUACCAGGUACAGCAAGUUGUACUUGAAGAAGUAUAGGACCUGGAGGUUGUCUGCCACGGACCAGAGCACUGACACCAGACAAUCCCCGUCAACAGCUAGAGAAGCAGGUCAGCAGAGGACCAGAUCCUGAACCUCAGAACCACUUGUUAUGGUCUUCAAUAUUUAUCUAAACGUCAUAACACAUCCAUAUGAAAGACUGGCUGGUCCACCAACAAUCAUUAAAUCAAUUAUACUUGGCUCCUACAAAAGGACCACUUCCUAAAGAAUCGAUGACAGCACAGCCU